rnacentral:rRNA from 1 species
CCUACGGGUGGCAGCAGUGGGGAAUAUUGCACAAUGGGGGAAACCCUGAUGCAGCAACGCCGCGUGAGUGAAGAAGCACCUCGGUAUGUAAAGCCCUAUCAGCAGGGAAGAAGAUGACGGUACCUGAGUAAGAAGCCCCGGCUAACUACGUGCCAGCAGCCGCGGUAAUACGUAGGGGGCAAGCGUUAUCCGGAUUUACUGGGUGUAAAGGGAGCGUAGACGGUGAGACAAGUCCGAAGUGAAAGCCCGGGGCUCAACCCCGGGACUGCUUUGGAAACUGCCUGACUGGAGUGCAGGAGGGGCAGGCGGAAUUCCUGGUGUAGCGGUGAAAUGCGUAGAUAUUAGGAGGAACACCGGUGGCGAAGGCGGCUUGCUGGACAGUAACUGACGUUGAGGCUCGAAAGCGUGGGGAGCAAACAGGAUUAGAUACCCGGGUAGUC